AUUGAACGCUGGCGGCAGGCCUAACACAUGCAAGUCGAACGAGUGGCGGACGGGUGAGUAAUGACUGGGAAACUGCCCGAUGGAGGGGGAUAACUACUGGAAACGGUAGCUAAUACCGCAUACCAUCGGAUGUGCCAAGAUGGGUUGAGCUAGGAGGUGGGGUAACGUCUCACCUAGGCGACGAUCCCUAGCUGGUCUGAGAGGAUGACCAGCCACACUGGAACUGAGACACGGUCCAGACGCCUACGGGAGGCAGCAGUGGGGAAUAUUGCACAAUGGGCGCAAGCCUGAUGCAGCCAUGCCGCGUGUAGGAAGAAGGCCUUCGGGUUGUAAAGUACUUUCAGCGGGGAGGCGUUACCCGCAGAAGAAGCACCGGCUAACUCCGUGCCAGCAGCCGCGGUAAUUC
rnacentral:rRNA from 1 species